rnacentral:rRNA from 1 species
UAAGAAUUAAUUUACUUAAAAAUAGUAAGGUCUUUUUAGAGAAUUUUCUUUAUCUUUAGUAUUUUAUUGAAAAAGUUAUUGUUGUAAUAGUUUAUUAGUACUGUAAAGUAAUGUUG